rnacentral:rRNA from 1 species
CACGUAGGGCGUAAGCGUUGUCCGGAAUUAUUGGGCGUAAAGAGCUCGUAGGCGGCUCAGUAAGUCAGGUGUGAAAACUCCAGGCUCAACCUGGAGACGCCACCUGAUACUGCUGUGGCUAGAGUCCGGUAGGGGAGCAUGGAAUUCCUGGUGUAGCGGUGAAAUGCGCAGAUAUCAGGAAGAACACCCGUGGCGAAGGCGGUUCUCUGGGACGGUACUGACGCUGAGACGCGAAAGCGUGGGGAGCGAACAGG